CUUCCUAUUCCAAAAUUUAUUUGUAUUACCGAACAAAGUAAUAACAAAAGUCGAGAAUGUUCCGUUCUGGUUUCAGGCUCUAAACUCUCCCACAGAAAAAAAGACAUGAAACUUUUCGAAGCAACCAAGGUCUCUGCAAUUCCUUUUAAAAAUACUCUGGGGUUUAUAUUCCUGUUCAAGCAAGCAUCCAGUCAAAAGAUCCUGCAACAGAACUAAGCCAUGCAUCACAAAUCUAUUGAACACCCUGCGAACAGAUCAGUUUGGAUUAAUGAGAGCAAAUAGAAGUAGAAAUAAAUACCAAAGAGUAAGGGAAGCUCUUUCCAGUGUGACCG
rnacentral:lncRNA from 1 species